rnacentral:rRNA from 1 species
UACGGAGGGUGCAAGCGUUAUCCGGAAUCACUGGGUUUAAAGGGUGCGUAGGCGGCUUGGUAAGUCAGAGGUGAAAGCCCGCAGCUUAACUGCGGAACUGCCUUUGAUACUGCCGAGCUUGAAAGAGGUUGAGGUCAGCGGAACGUGACAUGCAGCGGUAAAAUGCAUAGGUAUGUCACAGAACACCAAUUGCGACGGCAGCUGGCUGGGCCUACUAUGACGCUGAGGCCGGAAAGCGUGGGGAGGGAACAGG